rnacentral:rRNA from 1 species
GAUGAACGCUGGCGGCGUGCCUAACACAUGCAAGUCGAGCGAAGCGGGGACGGGUGAGUAACACGUGGAUAACCUCCUAUAAGACUGGGAUAACCUCGGGAAACCGGAGCUAAACCGGAUUCUUUUACAUGGAUCCGGACUGCAUUAGCUAGUUGGUAAGGUAACGGCUUACAAAGGCAACGAUUCAUAGCCGGCCUGAGAGGAUGAUCGGCCACACUGGAACUGAGAAACGGUCCAGACUCCUACGGGAGGCAGCAGUGGGGAAUAUUCCGCAAUGGGCGAAAGCCUGACGGAGCAACGCCGCGUGAGUGAUGAAGGUCUUCGGGUCGUAAAGCUCUGUUAUUGGGGAGGCGGUACCUGAACAGGAAGCCACGGCUAACUACGUGCCAACAGCCGCGGUAAUAC